rnacentral:rRNA from 1 species
GAUGAACGCUGGCGGCGUGCCUAAUACAUGCAAGUCGAGCGAACAGAUGAGGAGCUUGCUCCUCUGACGUUAGCGGCGGACGGGUGAGUAACACGUGGAUAACCUACCUAUAAGACUGGGAUAACUUCGGGAAACCGGAGCUAAUACCGGAUAAUAUAUUGAACCGCAUGGUUCAAUAGUGAAAGACGGUUUUGCUGUCACUUAUAGAUGGAUCCGCGCCGCAUUAGCUAGUUGGUAAGGUAACGGCUUACCAAGGCAACGAUGCGUAGCCGACCUGAGAGGGUGAUCGGCCACACUGGAACUGAGACACGGUCCAGAAUCCUACGGGAGGCAGCAGUAGGGAAUCUUCCGCAAUGGGCGAAAGCCUGACGGAGCAACGCCGCGUGAGUGAUGAAGGGCUUCGGAUCGUAAAACUCUGUUAUUGGGGAAGAACAAAUGUGUAAGUAACUAUGCACGUCUUGACGGUACCUAAUAAGAAAGCCACGGCUAACUACGG